UGAAUACUCCCUCCGUCCCAAAAUUCUUGUCUUAGAUUUGUCUAGAUACGGAUGUAUCUAGAUAUAUCCGUAUCUAGACAAAUGUAAGACAAAAUUUUUGGGACAGAUGGAGUAUUUU
rnacentral:pre_miRNA from 1 species